GGGUAUAUGGCUUAGUGGUAGAGCACUUGCUUAGCAUGCAUGAGGUCCUGGGUUCAGUCCCCAGCACCUCCA
rnacentral:tRNA from 1 species